rnacentral:rRNA from 1 species
ACNNUGCAGUCGAGCGGGGAAAGGGAGCUUGCUACCUAACCUAGCGGCGGACGGGUGAGUAAUGCUUAGGAAUCUGCCUAUUAGUGGGGGACAACAUUUCGAAAGGGAUGCUAAUACCGCAUACGCCCUAAGGGGGAAAGCAGGGGAUCUUCGGACCUUGCGCUAAUAGAUGAGCCUAAGUCGGAUUAGCUAGUUGGUGGGGUAAAGGCCUACCAAGGCGACGAUCUGUAGCGGGUCUGAGAGGAUGAUCCGCCACACUGGGACUGAGACACGGCCCAGACUCCUACGGGAGGCAGCAGUGGGGAAUAUUGGACAAUGGGGGGAACCCUGAUCCAGCCAUGCCGCGUGUGUGAAGAAGGCCUUUUGGUUGUAAAGCACUUUAAGCGAGGAGGAGGCUACCGAGAUUAAUACUCUUGGAUAGUGGACGUUACUCGCAGAAUAAGCACCGGCUAACUCUGUGCCAGCAGCCGCGGUAAUACAGAGGGUGCGAGCGUUAAUCGGAUUUACUGGGCGUAAAGCGUGCGUAGGCGGCUUUUUAAGUCGGAUGUGAAAUCCCCGAGCUUAACUUGGGAAUUGCAUUCGAUACUGGGAAGCUAGAGUAUGGGAGAGGAUGGUAGAAUUCCAGGUGUAGCGGUGAAAUGCGUAGAGAUCUGGAGGAAUACCGAUGGCGAAGGCAGCCAUCUGGCCUAAUACUGACGCUGAGGUACGAAAGCAUGGGGAGCAAACAGGAUUAGAUACCCUGGUAGUCCAUGCCGUAAACGAUGUCUACUAGCCGUUGGGGCCUUUGAGGCUUUAGUGGCGCAGCUAACGCGAUAAGUAGACCGCCUGGGGAGUACGGUCGCAAGACUAAAACUCAAAUGAAUUGACGGGGGCCCGCACAAGCGGUGGAGCAUGUGGUUUAAUUCGAUGCAACGCGAA